rnacentral:rRNA from 1 species
AUACGUAGGGCGCGAGCGUUGUCCGGAAUCAUUGGGCGUAAAGGGCGCGUAGGCGGCCCGGUAAGUCUGGAGUGAAAGUCCUGUUUUUAAGAUGGGAAUUGCUUUGGAUACUGCCGGGCUUGAGUGCAGGAGAGGUAAGUGGAAUUCCCAGUGUAGCGGUGAAAUGCGUAGAGAUUGGCAGGAACACCAGUGGCGAAGGCGACUUACAGGACUGUAACUGACGCUGAGGCGCGAAAGUGUGGGGAGAAAACAGGAUUAGAUACCCUGGUAGUCCACACUGUAAACGAUGAAUGCUAGGUGUAGGGGGUAUCGACCCCUUCUGUGCCGCAGUCAACACAAUAAGCAUUCCGCCUGGGGAGUACGGCAGCAAGGUUGAAACUCAAAGGAAUUGACGGGG